GGUUCGAUGGCGUAGCUGGUAGCGCAUCUGUCUUACCUGUGACACAGAAGGCCCCUAGUUCGAGUCUGGGUCGAACCA